CGGUGCCACAGUUCACAAAAAGAAGUCGUGGAUUCUCUCUGAUUGGAGGCUUUUUCAAAAAACAGCUUACCCUUCAAUCAAAUUGGAAAAGGUGGUAAUAAUAGACCCCUCCACUCUCCUGGAUGUAAGAAUGAAUACAGGGCUAAGCUAUGGCAAAAAACAGUACAUCUCCCUGUUAGGACAGCAACUGGUCCAGGGUUGAGAACUUUACUCAAGCUUGGAAUAUUAGCCUUCUUCCAGGACUUUUAAAUUGAGAACACCUACUCUCCAGUCAUGAAGUGAUGAGCUUAUGAUCCCAGGAACUGGGAUAGCACACAGCAUUUCAGCCAGCUUGAGAAAAUGAAGCCACUGUUUAGAACGAAGCACAG